AUGACCCACAGGGCCGCCUCGGAGCGCUCCCACUCACCCCUGCUUCCCUCUGUGUGUUUCCCUACAGCUCCACACCAUUUGUGGGGUGGGGGAACCCCCAAGUCCCCAAGAGGGUGGCUAUGGCUGGAUUGCCCACCGGUGCUGGGUGCUCCUGGCCCUGUUGCCUGUGUUUCAGGGCUGGGUGAGAUGACCGAGCCUUUGUGCCCACUCAGUCUCCCUUGGGCGGCCUGCUGCACGAUGCCACUGCAGGACGCCAGGGGAUCUCCAAACACAGACGCAACGGGAGCAGGUGAAGGCCUUACAACAAGAAUCAGGGGUUUCCCUGAGAUGAAGGAAUUCUGCCUCAAGACUGCGGCAUCAGCUUCCGCUGCAGUUCCAGCCUGCUCUACAGAUUUUGGGGGCUGCAGGGACACAGAUGCGGUCCCUGUGACAUCCCCGGGGCUGGCUUUGCCUUUGGGGCUACAGGGACCAGUCCACCUCUUUUCCUGCCCACUGCCUGUCUGGGUCACCCUGGCUGUACUGAGUUAGACUGAAGGGGCUAUUGGACAUGGAGGUGGCUUCUGUCCUUCACACUAUAAAUAAUAUUGCCUGGGACAUCAACUGCUUGUUUUUUUUCCUACUAUUAGCACUUUCUAGCAUUAAAGCUGAGCAAUGCUGAUACCAUGUGUCUUCACAGAAUUUUUGGCAUUUCCUUGUCUACCAAGCAAAAGCCUG
rnacentral:lncRNA from 1 species